CAGUAGCCGCGGUAAUACGAGGGGGGCAAGCGUUGUUCGGAAUUAUUGGGCGUAAAGGGUGCGUAGGCGGUUUGGCAAGUCUUGUGUGAAAUCUUCGGGCUCAACCCGAAGCCUGCACGAGAAACUGCCGGGCUUGAGUAUUGGAGAGGUGAGUGGAAUUUCCGGUGUAGCGGUGAAAUGCGUAGAUAUCGGAAGGAACACCUGUGGCGAAAGCGGCUCACUGGACAAUAACUGACGCUGAUGCACGAAAGCUAGGGGAGCAAACAGGAUUAGAUACCCGUGUAGUCCCUGUCUCUUAUAC
rnacentral:rRNA from 1 species